UACGUAGGGGGCAAGCGUUGUCCGGAAUCAUUGGGCGUAAAGCGCGUGUAGGCGGCUUGGUAAGUCUGCUCUGAAAGCCCGGGGCUCAACCCCGGGAGGCGGGUGGAUACUGUCAAGCUCGAGUCCGGAAGAGGAGUGUGGAAUUCCUGGUGUAGCGGUGAAAUGCGUAGAGAUCUGGAGGAACACCGAUGGCGAAGGCAGCCUUCUGGGCCAACACUGACGCUCAUGCACAAAAGCGUGGGGAGCAAACAGG
rnacentral:rRNA from 1 species